UUAUCCUACGGGGGGCAGCAGUGAGGAAUAUUGGUCAAUGGGCGCGAGCCUGAACCAGCCAAGUCGCGUGAGGGAUGACGGCCCUACGGGUUGUAAACCUCUUUUGUCGGGGAGCAAAUUCCGCCACGUGUGGCGGAGUCGAGAGUACCCGAAGAAAAAGCAUCGGCUAACUCCGUGCCAGCAGCCGCGGUAAUACGGAGGAUGCGAGCGUUAUCCGGAUUUAUUGGGUUUAAAGGGUGCGUAGGCGGAAUAUCAAGUCAGCGGUAAAAAUUCGGGGCUCAACUCCGUCGUGCCGUUGAAACUGA
rnacentral:rRNA from 1 species